rnacentral:rRNA from 1 species
CUUGAACGCUGGCGGCAGGCUUAACACAUGCAAGUCGAGCGGAGAUGAGGUGCUUGCACCUUAUCUUAGCGGCGGACGGGUGAGUAAUGCUUAGGAAUCCGCCUAUUAGUGGGGGACAACAUUCCGAAAGGAAUGCUAAUACCGCAUACGUCCUACGGGAGAAAGCAGGGGAUCUUCGGACCUUGCGCUAAUAGAUGAGCCUAAGUCGGAUUAGCUAGUUGGUGGGGUAAAGGCCUACCAAGGCGACGAUCUGUAGCGGGUCUGAGAGGAUGAUCCGCCACACUGGGACUGAGACACGGCCCAGACUCCUACGGGAGGCAGCAGUGGGGAAUAUUGGACAAUGGGGGGAACCCUGAUCCAGCCAUGCCGCGUGUGUGAAGAAGGCCUUAUGGUUGUAAAGCACUUUAAGCGAGGAGGAGGCUACUGAGACUAAUACUCUUGGAUAGUGGACGUUAUUCGCAGAAUAAGCACCGGCUAACUCCGUGCCAGCCGCCGCAGUAACAC